UCACUUUCAACAACGGAUCUCUUGGCUCUCGCAUCGAUGAAGAACGCAGCGAAAUGCGAUAAGUAGUGUGAAUUGCAGAUGUAACGUGAAUCAUCGAUUCUUUGAACGCAAAUUGCACUUCCUGGUAUCCCGGGGAGUAUGCCUGUUUGAGGGUCGCCUAAAAAUAAACAUCGAUUACGUAGCUUUUUUCAUCAAAAAAAAGUUGAUGUUAUCGGAUUUGAGCCUUCUUUAUUUUUUUUUAAUAAAGUGGUUUAAAAUAUUAUUUUUGGUAUCAUCGAAAUUGUAUUUUACGAUCAGUU
rnacentral:rRNA from 1 species